rnacentral:rRNA from 1 species
UUCGCCCUUUUCCGGUUGAUCCUGCCGGACCCCACUGCUAUCGAGGUGGGACUAAGCCAUGCUAGUUGAGCGCACAGAACUAUGUCUGUGAGCGGCACACUGCUCAGUAACACGUAGCUAACCUACCCUUAGGACGUGGACAACCCCGAGAAAUUGGGGCUAAUCCGCGAUAGAUGUAUUGUCCUGGAAUGGUAUUACGUCUAAAGGUAUCCCAUACAUGUUUGGUAUACGCCUAAGGAUGGGGCUGCGGCCGAUCAGGCAGUUGGUGAGGUAAUGGCUCACCAAACCUUUGACCGGUACGGGCCAUGAGAGUGGUAGCCCGGAGAUGGACACUGAGACAAGGGUCCAGGCCCUACGGGGCGCAGCAGGCGCGAAACCUCCUCAAUGCACUUACGUGCGAAGGGGCUACCUCGAGUGCCACCUGAUGAAGGUGGCUUUUCCUAGGUCUAAAAAGCCUUGGGAAUAAGAGGGGGGCAAGACUGGUGUCAGCCGCCGCGGUAACACCAGCCCCUCGAGUGGUGGGGAUGAUUAUUGGGCCUAAAGCGUCCGUAGCCUGCCGUAUAAGUUUCCCGUUAAAUCCAGCGUCUCAAGCGUUGGACUGCGGGAAAUACUGUACGGCUAGAGAGUGGGAGAGGUCAGCGGUAUUCUGGGGGUAGGGGCGAAAUCCUUUGAUCCCCGGAGGACCACCAGUGGCGAAGGCUGCUGACUAGAACACGUCUG